rnacentral:rRNA from 1 species
UACGUAGGGGGCGAGCGUUGUCCGGAAUUAUUGGGCGUAAAGGGCGUGUAGGCGGCCUGUCAAGUCAGGGGUGAAAACCCGGGGCUCAACUCCGGGGUUGCCCUUGAAACUGGGAGGCUUGAGUGCUCUAGAGGGCAGUGGAAUUCCCGGUGUAGCAGUGAAAUGCGUAGAGAUCGGGAGGAACACCAGUGGCGAAGGCGGCUGCCUGGGGAGUAACUGACGCUGAGGCGCGAAAGCUAGGGGAGCAAAC